rnacentral:rRNA from 1 species
CACGUAGGGUGCGAGCGUUGUCCGGAAUUAUUGGACGUAAAGAGCUCGUAGGCGGUGUGUCGCGUCGGCCGUGAAACCUGCAGCUUAACUGUGGGCGUGCGGUCGAUACGGGCAUCACUGGAGUUCGGCAGGGGAGACUGGAAUUCCUGGUGUAGCGGUGGAAUGCGCAGAUAUCAGGAGGAACACCGGUGGCGAAGGCGGGUCUCUGGGCAGUGAACUGACGCUGGAGGAGCGAAAGCCGUGGGGAGCGAACAGG